rnacentral:rRNA from 1 species
UACAGAGGGGGCUAGCGUUAUUCGGAAUUAUUGGGCGUAAAGGGCGCGUAGGCGGCCUUGCGUGUCUUUCGUGAAAUCCCUCGGCUUAACUGAGGACGUGCGGAAGAAACUGCAGGGCUUGAGUCCGGGAGAGGGGGGUGGAAUUCCCAGUGUAGCGGUGAAAUUCGUAGAUAUCAGGAGGAACACCAGUGGCGAAGGCGGCUUUCUGGACGGUAACUGACGCUGAGACGCGAAAGCGUGGGGAGCAAACAGG